UGGGGAAUAUUGCACAAUGGGCGCAAGCCUGAUGCAGCCAUGCCGCGUGUGUGAAGAAGGCCUUCGGGUUGUAAAGCACUUUCAGCGAGGAGGAAGGUGGUGAACUUAAUACGUUCAUCAAUUGACGUUACUCGCAGAAGAAGCACCGGCUAACUCCGUGCCAGCAGCCGCGGUAAUACGGAGGGUGCAAGCGUUAAUCGGAAUUACUGGGCGUAAAGCGCACGCAGGCGGUUUGUUAAGUCAGAUGUGAAAUCCCCGGGCUCAACCUGGGAACUGCAUUUGAAACUGGCAAGCUAGAGUCUCGUAGAGGGGGGCUAGAAUUCCAGGUGUAGCGGUGAAAUGCGUAGAGAUCUGGAGGAAUACCGGUGGCGAAGGCGGCCCCCUGGANGAAGACUGACGCUCAGGUGCGAAAAGGCGUGGGGG
rnacentral:rRNA from 1 species